UGCAAGUCGAGCGGUAAGGCCCUUUCGGGGGUACACGAGCGGCGAACGGGUGAGUAACACGUGGGUGACCUGCCUUCAGCUCUGGGAUAAGCCUGGGAAACUGGGUCUAAUACCGGAUAUGACUCCAUGAUGCAUGUUGUGGGGCGGAAAGCUUUUGCGGCUGGAGAUGGGCCCGCGGUCUAUCAGCUUGUUGGUGGGGUGAUGGCCUACCAAGGCGACGACGGGUAGCCGGCCUGAGAGGGCGACCGGCCACACUGGGACUGAGACACGGCCCAGACUCCUACGGGAGGCAGCAGUGGGGAAUCUUGCGCAAUGGGCGAAAGCCUGACGCAGCGACGCCGCGUGAGGGAUGACGGCCUUCGGGUUGUAAACCUCUUUCAGCCCUGACGAAGCGAAAGUGACGGUAGGGGCAGAAGAAGCACCGGCCAACUACGUGCCAGCAGCCGCGGUAAUACGUAGGGUGCAAGCGUUGUCCGGAAUUAUUGGGCGUAAAGAGCUCGUAGGCGGUCUGUCGCGUCGGCUGUGAAAACUCGGGGCUCAACCCCGAGCUUGCAGUCGAUGCGGGCAGGCUGGAGUUCGGCAGGGGAGACUGGAAUUCCUGGUGUAGCGGUGAAAUGCGCAGAUAUCAGGAGGAACACCGGUGGCGAAGGCGGGUCUCUGGGCCGAUACUGACGCUGAGGGGCGAAAGCGUGGGGAGCGAACAGGAUUAGAUACCCUGGUAGUCCACGCCGUAAACGGUGGGCGCUAGGUGUGGGGGCCAUUCCACGGUCUCUGUGCCGCAGCUAACGCAUUAAGCGCCCCGCCUGGGGAGUACGGCCGCAAGGCUAAAACUCAAAUGAAUUGACGGGG
rnacentral:rRNA from 1 species